GCACUGCUGAGGAGUCCCAUACCAGGACGAAACGGCCGUUCAGUAC
rnacentral:hammerhead_ribozyme from 1 species